rnacentral:ncRNA from 1 species
GCCAUGGGGUUUGCGAUUACCCCAUGAGGCGUCAGCUGAAUUUUCGCGUCCAUUCAACCUCAAAUUAUCAGGAGGGAGGACGCUCUG